rnacentral:rRNA from 1 species
CUCCCGCCGGCGACCGGCGCACGGGUGAGUAACACGUAUGAAACCUGCCCGUAGCAGGGGGAUAAGCGGAAGAAAUUCCGUCUAAUACCGCGUAACAACCCGAGGAGGCAUCUCCUCGGGUUUAAAGGAAGCGAUUCCGGCUACGGAUGGUCAUGCGUCGCAUUAGCUAGUUGGCGGGGUAACGGCCCACCAAGGCGACAAUGCGUAGGGGUUCUGAGAGGAAGGUCCCCCACACUGGUACUGAGACACGGACCAGACUCCUACGGAAGGCAGCAG